CUGUGCAAAGGUAGCAAAAUCAAUNGUCCAUUAAUGUGGACCGGAUCAAUGGUUUGACGAUAAAAAAACUGUCUUUCUUUACUGGCUUUUAAAUUAUCUUAAGAGUGAAGAGACUCUUUUGUUAUAGCGGGACGAGAAGACCCCGUUGAGCUUUAACGAGUAUUAUUAGUUUUAUAAUCACUGGUUUUAGUUGGGGCAACUAUUUCUCUUUAUUAAACAGAAAUAAAACUAUCUCGAAUUGAAUCAAUUAUGACCCCUAAUUAUUAGGAGUAAUAAAAUAAGUUACCACGGGGAUAACAGCGUAAUUUUUUUUGAGAGUUCUUAUUGACAAAAAAGUUUGCGACCUCGAUGUUGG
rnacentral:rRNA from 1 species